rnacentral:lncRNA from 1 species
AGUUUUCAGUCGUGUCCGUGCAUUUACUCAUGAACUGUUCUACUAAAGCUUCCCAAAUUUUAAUAUGUUGUUACUGAUGACAGAAUGGAGGUCAAGUUCAGUAAUGACGAUUUUGACUUUAACCGUUCAGGAGUUAUGGUUCUUGAAAGAUUGAAAAAUGGAGUUUCCAGUCGUGUCCGUGCAUUUAUGCAUGAACUGUUCUAGCAAAGCUUCCGAAAUUUUAAUAUGCUGUUACUGAUGACAAAAUGG